rnacentral:lncRNA from 10 species
CCCAGCUACUUUUUGUAUUUUUAGUAGAGAUGGGGUUUCACUAUGUUGGCCAGGCUUGUCUUGAACCCCUGACCUCAGGUGAUCUGCCCACCUCGGCCUCCCAAAGUGCUAGGGUUACAAGUGUGAACCACUGUACCUGGCCCAUUUUUCUAAUUUUGAUGGUUAUAUUGUGGCUCUGUAGGAUAAUGUCCUUGUUUGUUGAAAACACACCACAAG